CGGAGUCGUCCCCAAGGCAGCGGAGUCGUCCCCAUGCAAAAAGUGCAAACAAGCCGAGACGUCCCUGUAAAGCGCCGAGACGACCCUCUCAGAAAAACAGAAAAACAAGGAUUCAAACCAUUCAUCAUCGGAGUCGUCCCCGUAAAGUGCCGAGUCGACCCCAAACAAAGUGAAAAGUAAAUUUAUACAGCCGAGACGUCUCGCGUUGAAGCGGAGACGUCUCCGGAGCGCCUGGGACGCGACUGACAACUUUUGCAGGUUUGGUUUGAAUUUUAAAUCUCUUUUACUUUAUCUCUAACGGCUAUAUUUGCUUUUUGGGCUAUAAAAGGGAGCUCCUAAGUGCUUCUCAACAACUUCUCACCAACCCAAAGCAAGAUCAUUCAAGAGAGAAGAAAGAAAAAGAGGUUCAAGGGAGUUAGUGCAUUCAAGUGAAGAAAUCAAGUGCUUUCAAGUUUCUCAACUGAUUUCAAGCUCAACUACUCUCUUCCGCUCGGCAUUCAAAGCUCACACUCAAGCCUACGCGAUCCACAUCGGAAGAAUCAUCAUUUCCCACACUUCCAACGGCAAAAGGAUUCUUCCGGAUUUU
rnacentral:lncRNA from 1 species